AACAAUUCUAAGUCUUGCUUUUUUAAACAAAAACAAAUAGAACAGGAUACAAGUAUCAGUAUCCCUCUCCAUCACAUUCACCAAUACACUCACCUUCGCUAUCUGUCCCUGUCUUCAUCGCCCUCUGUCUCCGUCUCCAUAUCGGGAAGAGCUUCGUAUCUUCACAUACAGUCCAAGGAGGCAUCUUUGCUUUCAAUGGAUUUGAAUGCUCUUGCAGAACAACUCGCAAAAGUUGAUUUAUCAGAAAGGCCAUUCAUGGAAGCAGAUGGGAUGCCUUUCGGCUUAUCUUACAUUAUCCAUUGACUUCUAUCUAGAUCUAUUUUAAAUUUACCGUCAAUUCAAUUCAAUUCUAUACAACACUUGUGUAACAAUUUCACCAGUUUUAGCAGUUAUCUUUCCGGGGAACACAAUUUUUUUGAAAGUGUCCUACUACUUCUAUAAUAAUUACUUGUAGUUAUUAACUUUAACUUA